GCCGUACUAGAGAAAUGGUUAACUCGUCGGCCUUCUAAGUCAUUAUCUUAGAGAUAGCCGAAGAUUCCCGGUUCGAGUCCGGGGUGCGGUG
rnacentral:tRNA from 1 species